rnacentral:rRNA from 1 species
GAUGAACGCUAGCUACAGGCUUAACACAUGCAAGUCGAGGGGCAGCAUGAACAAAGCUUGCUUUGUUUGAUGGCGACCGGCGCACGGGUGCGUAACACGUAUCCAAUCUGCCCGCGGCUCGGGGAUAGCCCAUCGAAAGAUGGAUUAAUACCCGAUGGCGUGGUCGCCCCGCAUGGGGUUUCCACUAAAGGUUUUCCGGCCGCGGAUGAGGAUGCGUAUGAUUAGGUAGUAGGCGGGGUAACGGCCCACCUAGCCUUCGAUCAUUAGGGGUUCUGAGAGGAAGGUCCCCCACACUGGAACUGAGACACGGUCCAGACUCCUACGGGAGGCAGCAGUGAGGAAUAUUGGUCAAUGGGCGAGAGCCUGAACCAGCCAAGUAGCGUGAAGGAAGACUGCCCUAUGGGUUGUAAACUUCUUUUGUUCGGGAAUAAAGUGCAGUAUGUAUACUGUUUUGUAUGUACCGUUCGAAUAAGCAUCGGCUAAUUCCGUGCCAGCCGCCGCCGUAAUAC